rnacentral:rRNA from 1 species
GACGAACGCUGGCGGCGUGCCUAAUACAUGCAAGUCGAACGCAGUGGGGACGGGUGAGUAACACGUGGGUAACCUCCCAUCAGAGGGGAUAACACUUGGAAACAGGUGCUAAACCGAUACUGAUGGAUGGACCCGCGGUGCAUUAGCUGGUUGGUGAGGUAACGGCUAACCAAGGCCAAGAUGCAUAGCCGACCUGAGAGGGUGAUCGGCCACACUGGAACUGAGACACGGCCCAGACUCCUACGGGAGGCAGCAGUAGGGAAUCUUCGGCAAUGGACGAAAGUCUGACCGAGCAACGCCGCGUGUAUGAAGAAGGUUUUCGGAUCGUAAAGCUCUGUUAUUAGAGAGGCGGUAUCUAACCAGAAAGCCACGGCUAACUACGUGCCAGCAGCCGCGGUAAUUC